GUCUACAGCCAUAGCACCCUGAACGCAUCCGAUCUCGACUGGUCUUGGAAACUAAGCAGGGUCGGACCUGGUUAGUACUUGGAUGGGAAACUUGAUUUUCUUUUUCUUCAACUUUAAACCCUGAAGGUCUUAGUCC
rnacentral:rRNA from 1 species